CUCCUUUACUUACAAAAAAACUUACUCAAGUAGGUUGUCCUUCUAGGUAACUUGUGACUGUAUGGGAAACUGUUGAUCACAGCCUGAACCUCUGAUUAACCACCUGUGGCAAGCAAUGAGUCAGCUGUGGGAGCACAGGUGAAAGUAAUACAAGUGGUGCUUGGUUCCACCUCUUCCAGAACUCAGAACCACCAGUGAGGCAGGAUCUUUUUUUCUUGAGGUGGCUGUUUUGUGGAUUUUAGUGCUAAUCUUCAACAUUGGUGAGUGUUUUUUUAUUUAACGCGUGUUAUUUUUUUUAUUGUAUUAAUCUUUUUUUAUGGAAGAUCUGUUUAAUCUCUGUUUAGCUAUUGAUUGUGUAACUGCACAAUGACUAUUUAAGUCAUUUCCUGCCACAAGCAGUGUCGUGUUCUUGCUUGGAGCACCUGAGAUGGUGGCCAUCUCCUCAGGGCUCUUUAAGAUGCCAUGGAGUCACAUUUGUUAAAGCUUUUCAGGAUAAAUUUCCAUGUAGAAGGCUUGCUGUAUUUUCAAACAACUUAUUGUUAAGGAAGCACACAGGGUAAUGUGGCUCAGUGUUUUCACAGUCUGUUAAUUUCAUGCAAGUUUGCUAGAA
rnacentral:lncRNA from 1 species